rnacentral:rRNA from 1 species
UCCGUAGGUGGAUAAUUAAGUCAGAGGUGAAAUCCUGCAGCUCAACUGUAGAAUUGCCUUUGAUACUGGUUAUCUUAAAUUAUUGUGAAGUAGUUAGAAUAUGUAGUGUAGCGGUGAAAUGCAUAGAUAUUACAUAGAAUACCAAUUGCGAAGGCAGAUUACUAACAAUAUAUUGACACUGAUGGACGAAAGCGUGGGGAGCGAACAGGAUUAGAUACCCUGGUAGUCC